CACCAAAAGGGGAGUUACUAUGGGCGAUGGAUGCAGCAAACCUCUCAAAAUUGGCUGGUUUGAGCAACCCGCCAGGUAUCCCGAUAUAUACUUGUGGUUAUCGAGCAGCCAAUGCCCACAGCUAACCUCCGCCUCUCCGACCCUCCCAUCAGAUGCAAAAGAACGCUAGUCAGUGUUAUAUUCAUACCUGGCCUCAUGGUGUUGGGGGCCUCGUCCCGGGGGCGCCGGUAUCCCCGUACGGACGACUGUGGGGGGAAACAAUGCCUCUGUAUACAUGACUUAUCUAUUGCCGGAAGAUCUGCACCAACUGCUUCCCUUCAUCCGUCCGUUCAAAUAGUUCUGGAAUCAUUGCGUAAAUCACUCUUAUG
rnacentral:sRNA from 1 species